UUAUAUUCUAAAAAUCCAUCUAGAAAUAAAUAGCAUUCAUGGCCAACCAUUAUGUCUAAUAUACAAUCUGUAAAUGGUAACAAAAAAUAAUCCUUCUUAGUAGCACCAUUUAAUUUUUGAAAGUCUUGAAAAAUUCAAAUUUUUCUAUUCUUCUUUGAUACCAUCAAAAUUAGUAAAACACAUUUACUAUAUAAUAUAAGAUAUAUAAAAUCCACCUCUAAAAGUUUAUCCAAUUCCUCCUUUACCAUGAGGGAAUAUUUUGGAUUAAGUUGGUGUUGCCAUUGAGUAAUAGGUUGAACAUCAUCCUUCAAAAUAAUAUGAUGCUUACAAACUUCAAUGGAAAUACCUUUCAAAUUAGUAUAAGUCCAAGUAAAAGCAAAUUUAUGCUGAAUAAAAAAUUCUAUCCAAUGUGUCAGUUCCAAAUUCUUAAAACCUUUAAAUUUUUGAUAUUUUAAGAAAUUAUAUGUAUUUUUAGAUUAAAUUUUUGGCAUAGGAAUUCAUUUGUAACUUCUUAUUUUACCUCCC
rnacentral:lncRNA from 1 species